UACGGGGGGAGCAAGCGUUGUUCGGAUUUACUGGGCGUAAAGGGCGCGUAGGCGGUCAGCACAAGUCAGUUGUGAAAUCUCCGGGCUUAACUCGGAAAGGUCAACUGAUACUGUGUGACUAGAGUGCAGAAGGGGCAACUGGAAUUCUCGGUGUAGCGGUGAAAUGCGUAGAUAUCGAGAGGAACACCUGCGGCGAAGGCGGGUUGCUGGGCUGACACUGACGCUGAGGCGCGAAAGCCAGGGGAGCGAACGGG
rnacentral:rRNA from 1 species